rnacentral:rRNA from 1 species
GACGAACGCUGGCGGCGUGCCUAAUACAUGCAAGUAGGACGCAGUUGCGAACGGGUGAGUAAAGAGUAGGUAACUACAUAUUAGAGGGGGAUAACUAUUGGAAACGAUAGCUAAUAACGCAUACUAGUAGAUGGACCUGCGGUGUAUUAGCUAGUAGGUAGGGUAAUGGCCUACCUAGGCAACGAUACAUAGCCGACCCGAGAGGGUGAUCCGACACACUGGGCCUGAGACACCGCCCCGACUCCUACGUGAGGCAGCCGUAUGGAAUCUUCGGCAAUGGGGCGAACCCUGACCGAGCAACGCCGCGUGAGUGAAGAAGGUUUUCGGAUCGUAAAGCUCUGUUGUUAAGGAAGCGGUACUUAACCAGAAAGGGACGGCUAACUACGUGCCAGCAGCCGCGGUAAUUC